UACGAAGGGGGCUAGCGUUGCUCGGAAUCACUGGGCGUAAAGCGCACGUAGGCGGAUUGUUAAGUCAGGGGUGAAAUCCUGGAGCUCAACUCCAGAACUGCCUUUGAUACUGGCGAUCUUGAGUCCGGGAGAGGUGAGUGGAACUGCGAGUGUAGAGGUGAAAUUCGUAGAUAUUCGCAAGAACACCAGUGGCGAAGGCGGCUCACUGGCCCGGUACUGACGCUGAGGUGCGGAAAAGCGUGGGGAGCAAACGGGG
rnacentral:rRNA from 1 species